CUCAAAGCUAUCGAGUUUAGCUUUUUCAACAGAAAGCUGAUUGAGAUGAAGCUGCCAAAAGUGGCUAAGGUCAUUUUUAUCAGUAAUGUAUAACGGCAGUGCAGCCUAGUGGUUAGAGCGUUGGACUAGUAACCGGAAGGUUGCGAGUUCAAACCCCCGAGCUGACAAUCUGUCGUUCUGCAGAACGAGAGAUUGUCAGCCGGUCGGCCGUCAUUGUAAAUAAGAAUUUGUUCUUAACUGACUUGCCUAGUUAAAUAAAGAUAAAAUAAAAAAAUAUAUAUAUAUUUGGACAGUACCUGAUUAGCUGUACUUUUGUCAGGUGGUGAACAGAGCAGUUGGAUUGGAUUCGAGUUGUCUGAUGUCUGUGUAAGAGUCGUCACUACAGUCCUCGGCUCGAUUCCAGGCUGUAUCACAUCCGGCCGUGAUUGGGAGUCCUACAAUUGGUCGUCGUUCACGUUAGUUAGUUUUAGCUAGACUGGGUACUCCCAGACGUUAGUUAUUUUAACGUUAUAGUUAGACUGGGUACUCCCUGACGUUAGUUAGUUUUAACGUUAUAGUUAGACUGGGUACUCCCUGACGUUAGUUAGUUUUAACAUUAUAGUUAGACUGGGUACUCCCUGACGUUAGUUAGUUUAACGUUAUAGCUAGACUGGGUACUCCCUGACGUUAGUUAGUUUUAACGUUAUAGCUAGACUGGGUACUCCCUGACGUUAGUUAUUUUAACGUUAUAGCUAGACUGGGUACUCCCUGACGUUAGUUAGUUUAACGUUAUAGUUAGACUGGGUACUCCCUGACGUUAGUUAGUUUUAACGUUAUAGUUAGACUGGGUACUCCCUGACGUUAGUUAGUUUUAACGUUAUAGUUAGACUGGGUACUCCCUGACGUUAGUUAGUUUUAACGUUAUAGUUAGACUGGGUACUCCCUGACGUUAGUUAGUUUUAACGUUAUAGUUAGACUGGGUACUCCCUGACGUUAGUUAGUUUAACGUUAUAGCUAGACUGGGUACUCCCUGACGUUAGUUAGUUUAACGUUAUAGUUAGACUGGGUACUCCCUGACGUUAGUUAGUUUUAACGUUAUAGUUAGACUGGGUACUCCCUGGCGUUAGUUAUUUUAACGUUAUAGUUAGACUGGGUACUCCCUGACGUUAGUGAGUUUAACGUUAUAGUUAGACUGGGUACUCCCUGACGUUAGUUAGUUUUAACGUUAUAGUUAGACUGGGUACUCCCUGACGUUAGUUAGUUUUAACGUUAUAGCAAGACUGGGUACUCCCUGACGUUAGUUAGUUUUAACGUUAUAGCAAGACUGGGUACUCCCUGACGUUAGUUAGUUUAACGUUAUAGUUAGACUGGGUACUCCCUGACGUUAGUUAGUUUUAACGUUAUAGCAAGACUGGGUACUCCCUGACGUUAGUUAGUUUUAAUGUUAUAGCAAGACUGGGUACUCCCUGACGUUAGUUAGUUUAACGUUAUAGCUAGACUGGGUACUCCCUGACGUUAGUUAGUUUUAACGUUAUAGCUAGACUGGGUACUCCCUCACGUUGGUUAGUUUUAACGUUAUCUGUCAGUGCAGCUUUUGAAUCAACAUGUUGAAUUGUAAAUGACUCGAAUCUGGUUUACUGUGAGGUCAAUAACUCUGAAUAACAUCAUCACUGUGGCCUAUAUUAAUAACACGCUGACAAAGUUGACCUCGCUCUUUGUCCUUUUUUUCGGCCACAGAACAAUGAGAUAUUUCAAUGAGAUAUUUCCGUGGGUUUUUAGAAGUGAAGCAUCUGCUUUGGCGUUUCCAUGUGGGACUGAGAGGAAGCCCACUGGAGGGCAAAUGGGAGAAGGUGGAACGAGAUGGAUUUUGGCCAACAUUUUCAAGAAAGUUUUAUGUUCCCAAAACUAGAAUAUUUUAUGAACAAAGUAGACUAAGGUUUGUAGACUUGAACAUUUGCAAAACCUUUAUUUUUAAUUUUUAAUCGCGUUGUUUUCGGAGUGUAAAGGCGAAUUAAUUUAUUGCACAUGCGCACUUCACAGAGGAGGCGUUCCCUAACAGAAAUAUGCAGAUGAAAUUGGAACGAGCCAAUAGGAUCUCGCUAAGUCGUACUUGGUUCUGCCCCACGUGGCUCAUUUGUUCCAUGCUUUUUUUGGGCGAAUCAAAAAUGACUUUGAGAAACCACUGUGACUCGGGCCUCCUAAAGUGCCGCCGUACACA